AGCGAACGCUGGCGGCAGGCCUAACACAUGCAAGUCGAACGAACCUUUCGGGGUUAGUGGCGGACGGGUGAGUAACACGUGGGAACGUGCCUUUAGGUUCGGAAUAACUCAGGGAAACUUGUGCUAAUACCGAAUGUGCCCUUCGGGGGAAAGAUUUAUCGCCUUUAGAGCGGCCCGCGUCUGAUUAGCUAGUUGGUUGAGGUAAUGGCUCACCAAGGCGACGAUCAGUAGCUGGUCUGAGAGGAUGAUCAGCCACAUUGGGACUGAGACACGGCCCAAACUCCUACGGGAGGCAGCAGUGGGGAAUCUUGCGCAAUGGGCGAAAGCCUGACGCAGCCAUGCCGCGUGAAUGAUGAAGGUCUUAGGAUUGUAAAAUUCUUUCACCGGGGACGAUAAGACGGUACCCGGAGAAGAAGCCCCGGCUAACUUCGUG
rnacentral:rRNA from 1 species